GGGACAUGAUGAGUGGUCAGUACUCGCAAUCUAUGUGUGAUGAGUGUACACCCAAUCGCCUGGUUACGACACUCGGGCACUCCCUUUGUUACCUCUUGAUUCC